rnacentral:rRNA from 1 species
UACCAGCGCCCCGAGUGGUCGGGACGUUUAUUGGGCCUAAAGCAUCCGUAGCCGGUUCUACAAGUCUUCCGCUAAAUCCAACUGCUUAACAGGUGGGCUGCGGAGGAUACUAUAGAGCUAGGAGGCGGGAGAGGCAAGCGGUACUCGAUGGGUAGGGGUAAAAUCCGUUGAUCCAUUGAAGAACACCAGUGGCGAAGGCGGCUUGCCAGAACGCGCUCGACGGUGAGGGAUGAAAGCUGGGGUAGCAAACCGG